ACCCUGAAAAGGAAUUAUCUGAAUACGAAUCCCACUGUUCUCCUGGCAGCCCUGCCCUGGCUUUGCAGCAACAAGAGCACCAAGCAGCUCAGCCAUGACACCAACUACACUUUGCCAAAGUGGUAGAAAAAGAGUUAGAGAAGCAAGCAGGAGCAGGCUGUGGACAGCCCACGUCUGCUGCAGCACAAGUGUAAGAAAAGAAUAUGAUUUGGACUACUGUAAGCCUUUCACCAUCUCCCUCAAGGAAACUGCUGAAGAUAAAAUUACAAAUGCAAUAUGUAUAGGUGAAGGCCCUCACUUCUCGCACUUAAUAAAGAUCAUCACUAUUGAUUUCCCAUAUGGCCAUAUUAAAUGGAUGAAGAAAGAAAACUAAACUGGCAAUCAGAAAGCAAUCAGUGGAGAUUAUAAACCCACUUCCAUACAAUGCAGUGCAUGGUGAUCCAGAACUCUCCGGAGACUUUACAAUAUCGUAAGGAGCAGGAGAAAAGCGUGAGGAGGAAGGAGCAACAAAGAAGAACUCCUGGGCUGCCCGCAGCUUCCCCUCCCCAUCCCUUGUGUCGCUUGUGAGGACAGAAGAGCUGACAGGAGAGAGCAGAGGAACAGGGAACCACAGGACAAGGUUGAGCCUGGGAAGAAGGGAGAACUGGGGCAAGGUGGCUUUAGGUUUGGCUUUGUUUCUUACCAUCAUACUCUGUUUUUCAUUCCCAAUAAAGUAAAUUAAUCUUACUCUUCCUUUACUCUCCCACUGCAUCACCUUUUUCUAACACUGCCACAUGACUUCAGAGUAGAAAUACGGUAAUACAGAUUACCUUUUCACUCUGCAAACUGAUCCAGAAAAAGAAAGCAGCACAAAUAGGUUGCAGAGAUCAUUUUCUCAGGCAGAAAACACUUUCGGGUUGUGAAUUAGGCUGUG
ensembl:lncRNA